CGCGGCCCCUGUAGGCCAAGGCGCCAGGCAGGACGACAGCAGCAGCAGCGCGUCUCCUUCAGCUUCACUGCUGUGUCUCCCAGUGUAACCCUAGCAUCCAGAAGUGGCACAAAACCCCUCUGCUGGCUCGUGUGUGCAACUGAGACUGUCAGAGCAUGGCUAGCUCAGGGGUCCAGCUCUGCAGGGUGGGGGCUAGAGAGGAAGCAGGGAGUAUCUGCACACAGGAUGCCCGCGCUCAGGUGGUUGCAGAAGUCAGUGCCCAGGCCCCCACACACAGUCUCCAAAGGUCCGGCCUCCCCAGCGCAGGGCUCCUCGUUUGAGGGGAGGUGACUUCCCUCCAUCGGCAAGGCCAAGCUGCGCAGCAUGAAGGAGCGAAAGCUGGAGAAGCAGCAGCAGAAGGAGCAGGAGCAAGUUGAUGUCGGAUCUCUUCAACAAGCUGGUCAUGAGGCGCAAGGGCAUCUCUGGGAAAGGACCUGGGGCUGGUGAGGGGCCCGGAGGAGCCUUUGC
rnacentral:lncRNA from 10 species